rnacentral:rRNA from 1 species
ACGGGUGAGUAAUGUCUGGGAAACUGCCUGAUGGAGGGGGAUAACUACUGGAAACGGUAGCUAAUACCGCAUAACGUCGCAAGACCAACGAGGGGGACCUUCGGGCCUCUUGCCAUCAGAUGUGCCCAGAUGGGAUUAGCUAGUAGGUGGGGUAACGGCUCACCUAGGCGACGAUCCCUAGCUGGUCUGAGAGGAUGACCAGCCACACUGGAACUGAGACACGGUCCAGACUCCUACGGGAGGCAGCAUG